rnacentral:rRNA from 1 species
AGAGUUUGAUCCUGGCUCAGGACGAACGCUGGCGGCGUGCUUAACACAUGCAAGUCGAACGGAAAGGCCCUCACCUUUGGUGGGGGUGCUCGAGUGGCGAACGGGUGAGUAACACGUGGGUGAUCUGCCCUGUACUUCGGGAUAAGCUUGGGAAACUGGGUCUAAUACCGGAUAGGACCAUGGUUUAGUGUCUCAUGGUGGAAAAAUUAUUGUUUUGGUGCAGGAUGAGCUCGCGGCCUAUCAGCUUGUUGGUGGGGUAAUGGCCUACCAAGGCGUCGACGGGUAGCCGGCCUGAGAGGGUGGACGGCCACAUUGGGACUGAGAUACGGCCCAGACUCCUACGGGAGGCAGCAGUGGGGAAUAUUGCACAAUGGGCGCAAGCCUGAUGCAGCGACGCCGCGUGGGGGAUGACGGCCUUCGGGUUGUAAACUCCUUUCGUUAGGGACGAAGCCGCACCUUUUUUUGGGUGUGGUGACGGUACCUUUGUUAAGAAGCACCGGCUAACUACGUGCCAGCAGCCGCGGUAAUACGUAGGGUGCGAGCGUUGUCCGGAAUUACUGGGCGUAAAGAGCUCGUAGGUGGUUUGUUGCGUCGUCUGUGAAAUUCCGGGGCUUAACUUCGGGGUGGCAGGCGAUACGGGCAUAACUAGAGUGCUGUAGGGGAGACUGGAAUUCCUGGUGUAGCGGUGGAAUGCGCAGAUAUCAGGAGGAACACCGAUGGCGAAGGCAGGUCUCUGGGCAGUAACUGACGCUGAGGAGCGAAAGCAUGGGGAGCGAACAGGAUUAGAUACCCUGGUAGUCCAUGCUGUAAACGGUGGGCGUUAGGUGUGGGGACCGGUUUGGUUUCUGUGCCGUAGCUAACGCAUUAAGCGCCCCGCCUGGGGAGUACGGCCGCAAGGCUAAAACUCAAAGGAAUUGACGGGGGCCCGCACAAGCGGCGGAGCAUGCGGAUUAAUUCGAUGCAACGCGAAGAACCUUA